CAGGCUUAACACAUGCAAGUCGAGGGGCAGCAUGGUCUUAGCUUGCUAAGGCCGAUGGCGACCGGCGCACGGGUGAGUAACACGUAUCCAACCUGCCGUCUACUCUUGGACAGCCUUCUGAAAGGAAGAUUAAUACAAGAUGGCAUCAUGAGUCCGCAUGUUCACAUGAUUAAAGGUAUUCCGGUAGACGAUGGGGAUGCGUUCCAUUAGAUAGUAGGCGGGGUAACGGCCCACCUAGUCUUCGAUGGAUAGGGGUUCUGAGAGGAAGGUCCCCCACAUUGGAACUGAGACACGGUCCAAACUCCUACGGGAGGCAGCAGUGAGGAAUAUUGGUCAAUGGGCGAGAGCCUGAACCAGCCAAGUAGCGUGAAGGAUGACUGCCCUAUGGGUUGUAAACUUCUUUUAUAAAGGAAUAAAGUCGGGUAUGCAUACCCGUUUGCAUGUACUUUAUGAAUAAGGAUCGGCUAACUCCGUGCCAGCAGCCGCGGUAGUACGGAGGAUCCGAGCGUUAUCCGGAUUUAUUGGGUUUAAAGGGAGCGUAGAUGGAUGUUUAAGUCAGUUGUGAAAGUUUGCGGCUCAACCGUAAAAUUGCAGUUGAUACUGGAUAUCUUGAGUGCAGUUGAGGCAGGCGGAAUUCGUGGUGUAGCGGUGAAAUGCUUAGAUAUCACGAAGAACUCCGAUUGCGAAGGCAGCCUGCUAAGCUGCAACUGACAUUGAGGCUCGAAAGUGUGGGUAUCAAACAGGAUUAGAUACCCUGGUAGUCCACACGGUAAACGAUGAAUACUCGCUGUUUGCGAUAUACGGCAAGCGGCCAAGCGAAAGCGUUAAGUAUUCCACCUGGGGAGUACGCCGGCAACGGUGAAACUCAAAGGAAUUGACGGGGGCCCGCACAAGCGGAGGAACAUGUGGUUUAAUUCGAUGAUACGCGAGGAACCUUACCCGGGCUUAAAUUGCAGAUGAAUUACGGUGAAAGCCGUAAGCCGCAAGGCAUCUGUGAAGGUGCUGCAUGGUUGUCGUCAGCUCGUGCCGUGAGGUGUCGGCUUAAGUGCCAUAACGAGCGCAACCCUUGUUGUCAGUUACUAACAGGUUCCGCUGAGGACUCUGACAAGACUGCCAUCGUAAGAUGUGAGGAAGGUGGGGAUGACGUCAAAUCAGCACGGCCCUUACGUCCGGGGCUACACACGUGUUACAAUGGGGGGUACAGAGGGCCGCUACCACGCGAGUGGAUGCCAAUCCCCAAAACCUCUCUCAGUUCGGACUGGAGUCUGCAACCCGACUCCACGAAGCUGGAUUCGCUAGUAAUCGCGCAUCAGCCACGGCGCGGUGAAUACGUUCCCGGGCCUUGUACACACCGCCCGUCAAGCCAUGGGAGCCGGGGGUACCUGAAGUGCGUAACCGCGAGGAGCGCCCUAGGGUAAAACUGGUGACUGGGGCUAA
rnacentral:rRNA from 1 species